rnacentral:rRNA from 1 species
CCUACGGGAGGCAGCAGUGGGGGAUAUUGCACAAUGGGGGAAACCCUGAUGCAGCGACGCCGCGUGGGUGAAGACGCGCCUCGGCGCGUAAAGCCCUGUCAGCAGGGAAGAAAAUGACGGUACCUGAAGAAGCAGCCCCGGCUAACUACGUGCCAGCAGCCGCGGUAAUACGUAGGGGGCAAGCGUUAUCCGGAUUUACUGGGUGUAAAGGGGGCGCAGACGGCGAUGCAAGCCAGGAGUGAAAGCCCGGGGCCCAACCCCGGGACUGCUCUUGGAACUGCGUGGCUAGAGUGCAGGAGGGGCAGGCGGAAUUCCUGGUGUAGCGGUGAAAUGCGUAGAUAUCAGGAGGAACACCGGUGGCGAAGGCGGCCUGCUGGACUGCAACUGACGUUGAGGCCCGAAAGCGGGGGGAGCAAACAGGAUUAGAUACCCCGGUAGUC